UUGAUGGGCCGGGAAGGAGAUGAAUUUAAUCUUCUCUUUAAUUGUUUGUCAUUGCAUACAAGCUGAAAGCUAAGGUGGCGCUCACAAAUCUGCCUUUCUCCCCAGCAACUGAAUUUUAAUAUCAAGGCAGUGAAGGUCAUUGCAGAAUUUGCCUUAUGUUUGUAUGAACUAAAUCUGGAGACAAUCUCAAAUAUUUACACUCAGUGCCAACUCCGUUCUUUAAAGGGUAGGAGGGAAAGGUGAAUGCCACGUGUAGGUCCUGUGGAUGCCCUCCAAUCCCACGCUCCUCUCUGGAGGAGGAGAGAGUGACAGGACACUGGAGAUGCUGCUAGGAGAGACUGAGCUCGCCAAUCACUUCCCUGCUGCAAGGAGGACUAGGGAUAUCUCUCCCACCAACUUACAACCCAGCCUCAAGGCUACUGACUCAAGACACAGAAACAAGAUCGGGUGUCAGGACAUACAAUACAAAUUCUGAAAGUAACAAAGUUACAUUGCCUUUCAUUGUCUGUUUCAUCUAAUUUUAGGUGAGCCAAUUUGAUUGCAACAUGUGGAUCUAAAUAGUAUGAGGACGAUUUUGUUAAUUAACCCUGUCAUGUUACACAAAUAAGGUAUUUUUUUCCCUUAAAUUCUUACACCUGCUGUAUUAAUCUGUUCUGUUACCAAAAUGAAAUGCUCAAGGUAGAAUAGUUUCUUAAGAGAAUAAGGAAGAGGAGGAGGAAGAAAAAUUGGAAAAUGAAGCUGUUGUUUGUCUGGAGUUAAAUUCUGGAGGCACAAAGGUAGAAAGGGCUGUGCCUGGUGAUGGCUUCUUGCCAGCACCGUCCUAAAACCACAAACACAGAGGGUGUCAAACGCCAAGAGACGGGGAGCAUCGCUGGUCUCUUCCUCCUCUAGAAACUCAGGAGGAUCCAGCCACGGACAUUAUCUAAUCCCUUCCCAGAAACCCAACCAUAAAGCUCAUAGGUCCUUUAGCUUUAACCCUCUAACAGCUUGUGAUACAGAUCAAAUUUCAACCCAGGAAGCCUUGGGAGACACUCAACCCAUCUGGCCCAUGGCAUUUGGAAGUUGGUAUUUCUUCCAGGGCUUGCCAUACACAGCACAGGAAAUUUUCAGAAUUCUUUCUCAGACGUUGCUUUUGGUUUCCUGGCUGUUGUGAAGUGCACAGUGGUAGCAAGCAAUUCUUCAGGACUGCAACUGACUUAAAGUUCCUGCCCUCAUAAUUUUUGUCCUCGGGGGUCCUUUUACUCAGAAGAGACAGCCAGCUGUCCAGGACGAGCGAUGUGUAAUUACAGACGGAAGCUUCACUGUGCCUCCGUCCACUGAAGUAGUGAAAUGUUCAAUGUUAGUUCCUG
rnacentral:lncRNA from 1 species